rnacentral:rRNA from 1 species
CAUAUCAAUAAGCGGAGGAAAAGAAACCAACAGGGAUUGCCUCAGUAGCGGCGAGUGAAGCGGCAAAAGCUCAAAUUUGAAAUCUGGCGUCUUUGGCGUCCGAGUUGUAAUUUGAAGAAGGUAUCUUUGGGCCCGGCUCUUGUCUAUGUUCCUUGGAACAGGACGUCACAGAGGGUGAGAAUCCCGUGCGAUGAGAUGGCCCGGGUCUAUGUAAAGUUCCUUCGACGAGUCGAGUUGUUUGGGAAUGCAGCUCUAAGUGGGUGGUAAAUUCCAUCUAAAGCUAAAUAUUGGCGAGAGACCGAUAGCGAACAAGUACAGUGAUGGAAAGAUGAAAAGAACUUUGAAAAGAGAGUGAAAAAGUACGUGAAAUUGUUGAAAGGGAAGGGCUUGAGAUCAGACUUGGUAUUUUGCAAGUUACUCUUUCGGGGGUGGCCUCUGCGGUUUACCGGGCCAGCAUCGGUUUGGAGCGGUAGGAUAAUGGCGGGGGAAUGUGGCACGACUUUGGUUGUGUGUUAUAGCCUCUGACGAUACUGCCAGCCUAGACCGAGGACUGCGGUUUUUACCUAGGAUGUUGGCAUAAUGAUCUUAAGUCGCCCGUCUUGAAACACGGACC